GCGACUUACUAUCGUGAGCACGACGGGCUAUGAUCUCCGAAGUGUCAUGAGAUAUGCAUUUAAUAAAGUUUGUAAGUAAGAGGUUGUUGGUGGUAGUAAUAGUGUGAGACUUGUGGUUGUUUAACACAACAUAAGUUCAUAACAUUUUAUAAAAAAAAACAAUAAAAAAAAAAGAAAAUCAAAAUCCUUAUAAUAGAAUU
rnacentral:lncRNA from 1 species